rnacentral:tRNA from 1 species
GCCUUAGUGGUGUAGUGGUCAGCACGCUCGGUGCAUAUUCGAAAGGCCCGUGGUUCGAUUCCAGGCAAGGGCA